GUUUUAUUAGCUUAUGAAUUUUUGUCUCUUUCAUGCUGGCUUAUAAUAAUGAUAACCACAGGCUUUUGGACUGGGUGAUAUGAGGAGAAGAAAUUGCUCAAUUCUGGUGCAGUAAGUCCAGCUAAGUGUUUUGAAGUGGUGGAAGUCUCCAAAUGAGAUGAGUGCUAAGAAGUGAGGUGCUCAUGUUCAGCUGGGGGUGCCAAUUGUAGGUGUGCAGAAAUAAUGGCGUGACUCAAGACUGCUUUGACAGGCAAAUCCACCUGCAGUCUGGGCAUACCUAUUUAUUGCCUGGAAAAAAAAAGUUGAACCAUCUGUGGUGUAUGGGUUUGUGUUCAGCUGGGUCCCUCCAUGCAGCAAGAACCAGGAUGGAAACAUCCAGGCCAGAUCCACUAACCACAGUGUUGCUUCAGUGGGAAACUUCUUGAGUAAUAGCUGCGUUUCAGGACCACCAAUUAAGCAGUUCUUGAUACCUGGAUAAUUAAUUCCCCGUACCUCAUCCAGCAACUUACAGAGAUAGCUGCAAUGGGUCUUGACUUUUAUCAGCUUGGGGUGGAACAAGAAACAUUCUUCCACUUUCCCUUCAUGCACUGUCAUGACUUAAAUUAUUAUAUACCUUUUUAAACAACUACUGAGACUGCUACCUGUGUGGAAGAAAUUAAUCCCAUCCUUGACCUCGCUUAGGUUUGGAGCAGAGAUUUGGAAGUAUGAGAUGCAGGGCUGCCUCUUCACCCUCAAUUUACUUUUACAGGCUUCUGAAAUAAUUAUUGCAAGCACGUUUAUAUGUAGCAUUCCUUUCUAUUAAAUAAGUGUCUGUCCUCAUGGCUAUUUCUAUUCCAUUACAGUAUCUGUAAGAAUAAUUUUUGGUAUUCUUCUGGUAUAUUUUGGCCCUGAUUAUUGUUAAUGAAGUGAAUAGCUGCCUUCACCAGAAGCUUUCCAUGUGCUGAGAAAAGUCCAAAUCAAGAUUCCUAGCAAUAAAAACC
rnacentral:lncRNA from 1 species